rnacentral:rRNA from 1 species
AACGUAGGAGGCAAGCGUUAUCCGGAGUUACUGGGCGUAAAGCGCGUGUAGGUGGAUUGGUAAGUUACUUAUAAAAGCUCCUGGCUAAACUAGGAGAGGUUGAGUGAUACUGCCAGUCUUGAAUAGAGGAGAGGUUAACGGAAUUCCGCGUGUAGUGGUGAAAUGCGUAGAGAUGCGGAAGAACACCAGUGGCGAAGGCGGUCAACUGGCCUCAUAUUGACACUCAGACGCGAAGGCAUGGGUAGCGAACGGG